CAUGUGUUUGUGAGAAGCUAGCUAGCUAGCUAGCUAUAGACAUACUAAAAGGCAGGUGUUAAUUAAUUGUGUAUUGCUAGUCUAGCUGAGCACAAUUAAAUGUCAUUUACCUGAGAAGUUUCAUGUGGCUGAGAUUGUUCUAAACUUAUACUUCCUGAAUAAAGUUGUGCUUAGAGCUGAGUCUGAGAAUACCGGGAUUGAUGCUAGAACUUAAGUCUUGGUCUUCUUUAUUUGAGGUAGCUAGCUAGCUGAGACUAGCUGAGACAAAGCCAAAGUGAAACGCUUCAUGGUGCCAUCUCUAGCUCUGAUGAUUGAUUUGCAGCCACGUGCAUGAAAAGAUGGGCAGGGCUGCAUGAUUUCAAUUAUAGGGGAGCCCUGCCCAAUUUUCUCAGCAGCUCCUGGGGGGGUUUCUGGGCAACCAGGAAACAAUGGUAGCUACGCCCCUGACCACAUGGCCUCAUGAUCAGAGAGAGAGCUAGAGUGUCUGCAGGCAUGAGAGCUGAAGGACCAUGCAUUGCAGUCCAGUAUUAAUGGUGGUGGAUAUGGUGGCUAGUCUGCAGAGGGAGCUGGACAAUGCUAGGGUGAGUAGUGUCAGGUCUUAUUGAGUGGACCCAGAUAAUCUGUCUAUCUUAUGGAUAAUUAAUGGAACCCCCCUUAACACAAAAGAACCACAGUAGGUGUACCUACCUCCAAUUAGAUGCGAAUAAUUUUUCACCUCCAAAAAAAAGCAACCUAGCUCUAGCUGGCAGAGGUCUUAAAAGUGUCACUUUAAAUUGAGGUCUUAUGGUAACUGUAUUUAGACCAAGCAGGACCAAACACAGUAUAUUGCUCUAGUCUGCCUAAUUAAAUGUGUUUGGAACGUCCAAUAAUAGUGUUUUUAGAUCCGUGAUUUAUUUCAAGCCCAAAUUGUCCAUAGCGUGGGCUAUAAUUAUAAUUAUUAUAAAUGGGUGCAUGUACUUUUCAUAGCUAAAUUUGAGGUUGUACUACGAACAUUCGACUUCAAAGUGUUGGGAUACCGUCCCUCACAAGGUAAAGGAAACAUGCACCUGGUCAAUAUUUAGUCAAUACCUUUAUUAACUGAAAAAUGAUUAGAUUUAUUAUUGACUAUACACAUUACACCCUCCUCCUACAUUGUCUGCAUGGUAACCUCUCUCUCUCUCUCUCAAGUGAACUAAAGAGAAAUCGCAGAUAGCGAACUGCUGGGAUGUCACGAGGGAACGAGACAUCAGUUCUCUGAAGCCCAUAGUCUUUUGCUCUGAACAUUUGAAACCAUCAACUAUUAGUCUUGUAACAGUUGUGUAUCACAUGCACUUUCUCAUGCUAAUAAUUCAGCAGCAAUGUUAUUGAGAACCAGAAUAUAAAAUGAACAUAAACUUUGGAAUGCAAACAUUAUACCUACUCCUCCUUCCAGGAGUUGGCUUGUACAUAAGUGGGAUCCUUGAGGCCCUCAGCUAGCUGCCAUAGCUAUUAUUAAACAUGGGAAACAGUCCAUGCAUGUGUGCAAAAACAAGAAGGGGGGUGGGGCUCACUAUUUCUGCACAUGCGUAGAUCUGAUUGCACAACCUCCUCCUCGUGGGGACAAAGAAACUCACCAGUCUAGGAAAAUGGUGUCUUUCCAACCACCCAAGCAACUGAUGUCUCACCUCUUAGUGACAACACAAACCAGCGAGUGAGAUUGAUGUCACUGACUGGCUGCAUAAUCAUGGAGGCACUACACUAUAAAUUAUAAUGUCUUCACAUUUCAACUCUAAGUGACAACUUGGUUUUAAAACUGUCUUGUGACCUUCUAGCCGAGUGCUUUUCGGAAUGAUUUUCUGAACAUGCCAUGCAGCGAGAUCGAGCACAGUGAUCGAAUGAUGGGGGCUGAACGGUGCAGCUUGUUGGAAGCAAGCUCUCAAAUAGACAUGUUUUGCAGCUGAUGUCUUCAAUCGUUCAACUCUACACGAACCGUGCAGCGAGAGUGUCACUGACUGCUGCAGGCUUGCAUGUGAGCACUAUAAUUAUGGUGAUGGACUGAACAGUGCAGCAUGUUGGAAGCAAACACACAAUUAGACAAGCCUUCCAGCUGCAAGGGUGUACAGUUCAUUUAGUCUAGAGAGUAGAUUACCACAAAUGUGUGAGUAGUUGAACUUAAAUGUAAAUAUCUUUUGAUUGGAGCAUUUCUAAGAAAUGGUGUUGAUACCCUGUGUAGAUGAAUGACUGAACUACAACAUAUCCAAAAAUGUUUCCAUGGAAACAUAAGGUGGUGGGUUUGUGGUGAUUAAUAGAACAACAGCAAAUUGUUAUAGUGGGUAAUCGGUUAGAGUAAUAAAACAGUAAUCUUGUACAGCUAAGGUCCUAGACUUCAUCACAUAAUUGUUCAAUGGUUUAAGUAUCCUGGCCAUCCCUUUAUGAGUGUUACAAAUGUUCACAGUGUUAAUAAUUCAUGAUUUACUGGUUUUCAGGUACACUUUUGGUUAGAGUAAUAACUUUUGAAAAAUUAAUAGCUUAGCUUUCAAAUUUCUGUAGUAAGUUUACAGAUAAAUGGGCUACAUUUUGAUACCAAUAACAUCCUAUAUGCUUAUUCCAUUGCUGAGAUAACA